AUGGCAAGGGAGUGGCUCAAAUUCUUCACAUUGCCCCUGCUCUGCCUGCACCCCCACCCCCACCCCAGGCAAGCGGUUUCUACAGGAUUAUGUCAUUUUUGGUGGAAAGGAUCAAAGAAGUGGAAGGUGGAAAAUCAAUGGAAAGAGUGGAGAGCGCUGAUGCGAAAAGAGCAAGAGCCAGACAAGAAUACCGGGAGAGAGAAGAACAAAGCUUUUCCCUCUCUGCUUCUGGAAUGUAAAUAUUAUCUCAGUUUGAAGAUAGAAGAGGGGCAAAGAACAACAGAUGCUUUCAUUCAACAGUACUUACCAAGUGGCCACUUUGAAUUAGGCCCAUAUGAAUCCAGUCAAAGCACCAUCAGGGGCUGCCAAAACUAGAAGAUCCCAGAUGUCCUGGUGCAGGAGGUGAAUAUCUUCUCAACUGAAGACAUGGAAACAACUUAAAUGUCCAUCGACAGAUGCAUGGAUUAAGAAGAUAUGGUAUAUACACACAAUGGAAUAGUACUCAGCCAUAAAAGAGAACAAAAUAAUGACACUUGCAGCAACAUAUAUGGAACUAGAGACUCUCAUACUAAGUGAGGUAAGUCAGAAUGAGAAAGACAAAUACCAUAUGAUAUCACUUAUACAUGGAAUCUAAUAUAUGGUACAAAUGAACCUUUCUACAGGAAAAAAAACUCAUGGACAUAGAGAACAGACUUGUGGUUGCCAAGGAUGGGAGAAGGGAGUGGGACAGACUGGGAAUCUGGGGUUAAUAGAUGUAAACUAUUGUCUUUGGAACAGAUAAGCAAUGAGAUCCUGCUGUAUAGCACUAGGAACUCUUACCUAGUCACUUAUGAUGGAUCAUGAUGGAGAAUAAUAUGAGAAAAAGAAUGUAUAUACGUGUGUAACUGGGUCACUUUGCUGUACAGUAGAAAAUUGACAGAACACUGUAAACCAGCUAUAAUGGAAAACAUAAAAAUCAUUAAAAAAAAAAAAAAAAAAAGAUCAGACGUGUCAAGAGCUAACCAGAGUACAGCCCAGCAGUGUUAAGUCCCCAGAACCUCUGCAAACCUCAUCUGAAUGCACUACUAAUUUCAUUUCUUACCCUAGUGGUCUCUUCAGCCUUUCUCAAACUUUGUCUUACACUCUUCCCUUUGCUGACAGUGCGUUUCUUCUCACUCAACUACUGAAGGGAAAAAAAUCCGCCUUUCAAGAUCGAAUCUAAAGGACACAUCUCCUCUGGUCCUCUCUUCCAGUUCCCUUGAUCCCAGUAAGCCCACUGUUGCUUACUCGUACCUUGCUGGUUACAAGGUACAGAUGCACCAUAAGUACAUACUUGCCUGCCAUGCCCACUAGACUGUGAAACGCAGUAAUUCUUAAACCCUCAGCACUUAGCUUGGUGCCUGGCACAUGAUAGGUGGUUAAUAUA
rnacentral:lncRNA from 1 species